rnacentral:rRNA from 1 species
GACGAACGCUGGCGGCGUGCUUAACACAUGCAAGUCGAACGGAAAGGCCCUGCGUUUGUUGGGUGCUCGAGUGGCGAACGGGUGAGUAACACGUGAGUAUCCUGUCCUUGACUUUGGGAUAACUCCAGGAAACUGGGGCGAAUACCGGAUAUGAUCUCCUGCUGCAUGGGGUUGGUUGGAGAGUGUCGGCUGUUGUGGAUAGACUCGCGGCUUAUCAGCUGGUUGGUGGGGUAGUGGCGUACCAAGGUUUUGACGGAUAGCCUGCCUGAGAGGUUGACCGGGCACAUUGGGACUGCGGUAGGGACCAGACUGCUACGGGCGGCAGCAGUGGGGAAUAUUGCAGAAUGGGGGGAAGCGUGAUGCAGCAACGCUGCGUGCGGGAUGCCGGCCUUCGGGUUGUAAACAGAUUUCGACUGUGCCGAGGACUGAGUGACGGUAAUGGGUAAAGAAGCAACGGCUAACUACGUG